rnacentral:rRNA from 1 species
AUGGGGAUGAUUCAGCGGCAGAAUCCACCGAUGCCCGUCCAAUCCCCCGUUAAUAAUGAGCGGCAUGAUUGCCUUGCCCCGAUCGUAUCGGUCGCUGCUGCUUCUGCUGCUCGUGCGCCUUGCUUUCACAAGCCAACAGUGGGUCUCAGGUUCCCCAUGCCCGGCUCGCACUGUGCCGCUGCCGUCGUACUCUACUCGCUGCCUGGAGAGACAGCGUCUGGGCCGGGGAUCCCGUCGCCCAUGCGGCCAGCGAUUGUUGGGCCCGAGCCGACGCGGCGAGGCUCCCCGCCCGUGGUGGUUCGUUCCGGGAAGCCAGCCAUCGCGGAACAGCGAGAGAUGGACUGGUGCAAGCAGCGCAACAGUGACGGCGGGACGAUGAUGAUGGGCUGGUGCCAGCACGAGGGAUGGAAGAUAACCGGCGCCCACCACACGAAUGUUCGUCCACACGCGCAAUGCCCUGUCACGGUCCAACGGAGGGAGGGACCCCGUUAUCUGGAGACGUACAGGAUCCCAUCCCGUGCGUCUGUAGCACACCGCACGAGUCGCGCAUCCUGGCCGCUUGAUGCCAGAGAGACCGCGACGGUCGACAGAAACCGAUCGGCGCAUGUGCACGCUCGGGUCGUCUGGGCCAUUUGGCGCGGGGACUCCCAUCACGCUGCGCGCCAAGGCCCCAUCCGUCGUGUGCUUGGUGCUUUGCCCGUUGGAGCCGUGUGCUCGAGCGACCCCCGGUUUCCCUUCUCCACCGGCACCAUCAUUGGACAUCAAGAAAAAAAUGGACGCUCACACCCGGGAGUCCAAGCACUCGAAACCACAUCGAUUUUCCGCUGCUUGCUUCUGUCACACUACUAG